AACUCUCAACAACGGAUAUCUUGGCUCUCGCAUCGAUAAGAACGCAGCUGUUGCAUCGAUGAAGAACGCAGCGAAAUGCGAUACGUAGUGUGAAUUGCAGAAUUCCGUGAGUCAUCGAAUCUUUGAACGCACAUUGCCGGUCGACUCUUCGGAGGAGACCACAUCUGCCUCAGCGUCGGGAUA
rnacentral:rRNA from 1 species